GGUCAAGCUACAAAGGGCGCAUGGUGAAUGCCUUGGCAUCAGGAGCCGAUGAAGGACGUGAUAAGCUGCGAUAAGCUUCGGGUAGGCGCACAUAGCCUGAGAUCCGAAGAUCUCCGAAUGAGGAAACUCACAUGGGAAACCCCAUGUAUCAUUAAGUGAAUACAUAGCUUAAUGAAGGUAACCCAGGGAACUGAAACAUCUAAGUACCUGGAGGAAGAGAAAGAAAAAUCGAUUUUCUUAGUAGCGGCGAGCGAAAGGGAAAGAGCCCAAACCGGAAACUUGUUUCCGGGGUUGUGGACAUAGCAUGAAAGUGGAGGCUAUUGUAACUGAAGAGAACUGGAAAGUUCCACCGUAGAAGGUAAUAGUCCUGUAAGUGAAACGAGAAGACCACGAGUUAUGAUCCAGAGUACCACGAGACACGUGAAACCUUGUGGGAAGCAGGGAGGACCACCUCCCAAGGCUAAAUACUACCUGAUGACCGAUAGUG
rnacentral:rRNA from 1 species